rnacentral:rRNA from 1 species
GGAGCUUGCUCCUGGAUUCAGCGGCGGACGGGUGAGUAAUGCCUAGGAAUCUGCCUGGUAGUGGGGGAUAACGUCCGGAAACGGGCGCUAAUACCGCAUACGUCCUGAGGGAGAAAGUGGGGGAUCUUCGGACCUCACGCUAUCAGAUGAGCCUAGGUCGGAUUAGCUAGUUGGUGGGGUAAAGGCCUACCAAGGCGACGAUCCGUAACUGGUCUGAGAGGAUGAUCAGUCACACUGGAACUGAGACACGGUCCAGACUCCUACGGGAGGCAGCAGUGGGGAAUAUUGGACAAUGGGCGAAAGCCUGAUCCAGCCAUGCCGCGUGUGUGAAGAAGGUCUUCGGAUUGUAAAGCACUUUAAGUUGGGAGGAAGGGCAGUAAGUUAAUACCUUGCUGUUUUGACGUUACCAACAGAAUAAGCACCGGCUAACUUCGUGCCAGCAGCCGCGGUAAUACGAAGGGUGCAAGCGUUAAUCGGAAUUACUGGGCGUAAAGCGCGCGUAGGUGGUUCAGCAAGUUGGAUGUGAAAUCCCCGGGCUCAACCUGGGAACUGCAUCCAAAACUACUGAGCUAGAGUACGGUAGAGGGUGGUGGAAUUUCCUGUGUAGCGGUGAAAUGCGUAGAUAUAGGAAGGAACACCAGUGGCGAAGGCGACCACCUGGACUGAUACUGACACUGAGGUGCGAAAGCGUGGGGAGCAAA